AGAGUUUGAUCAUGGCUCAGAACGAACGCUGGCGGCAUGCUUUACACAUGCAAGUCGAACGGGAUCAUGGCUUCGGCCAUGUAUCUAGUGGCAAACGGGUGAGUAACGCGUGGGAAUCUACCUAGUUGUGGGGAACAACAGCGGGAAACUGCUGCUAAUACCGCAUACGCCCUUCGGGGGAAAGGCUUCGGCCGCAAUUAGAGGAGCCCGCGUCGGAUUAGGUAGUUGGUGGGGUAAAGGCCUACUAAGCCAAUGAUCUGUAGCUGGUCUGAGAGGAUGAUCAGCCACACUGGGACUUAGACACGGCCCAGACUCCUACGGGAGGCAGCAGUGGGGAAUAUUGGACAAUGGAGGAAACUCUGAUCCAGCAAUGCCGCGUGAGUGAAGAAGGCUUUAGGGUUGUAAAACUCUUUCAGUAGGGAAGAUAAUGACGGUACCUACAGAAGAAGCCCCGGCUAACUCCGUGCCAGCAGCCGCGGUAAGACGGAGGGGGCUAGCGUUGUUCGGAAUUACUGGGCGUAAAGGGUGCGUAGGCGGCCAUUCAAGUUAGACGUGAAAGCCCAGAGCUUAACUCUGGAAUUGCAUUUAAUAC
rnacentral:rRNA from 1 species